GUGCAGAUGGUAGCAGCCUAAACGAUGGAUGGGGAACACCAGGAAGAGAAUCCUUUACACGAGAAAGGAAAUCCUCUACACAAUGAAGAGAAGACUUCAAGUGAUGUGGAGAAGACUUUAUAUGACAUGGAGAGAGCUUUAUGUGACAUAAAAAAUAGUGCUGAAGAGAGCAGUUCAAGUGAUGAUAACAGUUCAGGUGAUGAAGUAGAAGGACAAAGACUGGAUUCAAACCUCCCAAGUGGUUCAGAUCCUCUUCCAUCUAAUGCAGAAAGCCCCUGCGAUAAUAGUGAAUCUGAGCUGUCCCCCCAAAAAGCAGCACAAGCUAAAAAACCUCGCCUCAAGAAGUUUGCUCCACGGAAAGGUACAAGGUCAAGCCUACGUUCCAGCACAAAAUUGACAGUCAGUGCAUGUGAUACGACAGAUGAUGGUAAAAGAAAAUUGGACAAAAAACCCUUCUGCCUGUAUUGCAAUGAACCACACCACAACAUUGCAAGACAUUUAGAAAGGAUGCACGCAGAAGAAGAAGCUGUUGCUCAUGCUAUCAGCUUCCCAGAACUCUCCAAAAUCAGGUCUCUCUUGCUUGACCAACUCCGUAACAAAGGCAACUAUCAACACAACUUAGAAGUUCUUCAAAGUGGAGAUGGGGAAAUUGUGAGAAAGUGUAGACCAUCUUACGAUGGUGUUUCUGUGCAUGACUGCCUGCCCUGCCAACACUGCUUAGCUUUUUUCACCAAAAUUGAUUUAUGGAAGCAUGAGAGCACAUGUAACGCUAGAAAAGGACAAGAUGAAACAAGGGGAGGAAAAAGAGUGAGGAUCCAGGCUGGGUCCUCUCAACUUGUUCCAUUGCCUGUCUAUUCUACUGGAGGAUGUGAAGAAAUAAUACACAAUAUGAAUCAAGAUGACAUCUUAUGCCACAUCAAAAAUGAUCCCCUGAUAUGUAAAUAUGGCAAUGCACUAUCUGCAAAGCAUGGUCAUGCCAAGUCACAGUUUACUUACAUUGGUUCAAAAAUGAGGGAAUUGGCUAGAUUUGUACUUGCUGUAAAUGAGAUGGACUGUGGUGUUCAAUAUCUGCAUGAAGUAUGUGUACCAUCCAAAUUCAAAUUGGCCGUUCAUGCUGCCAGGAAAAUGAGUGGUCAUGACCCUGCCUCCGACAGGUACAAGACCCCAUCUCUUGCUUUAAAGAUUGGCUAUUCCUUGAAAAGAGCUACUGAAAUAGCUUUUGGGGAGAGUCGUAUGACAGAGGACCGUGAGGCAGAGGAACAAGCCAAAAGGUUUAUUGAACUACUUGAAAACGAUUGGAAUAACUGUUUUUCCGGUCUAUCCCUCAGUGCUGUCCCUCAGUGUGAUGAAGUUGAUGUGUCUUCACUAACUGAGGAUUUGAUCAAACUUCAGAAGUUUCUCAAGGUUGCAGAGGACACAGCGAAGAAAGAAUUGCUGGAGAACCCCACCAACGCUGUCUGGAAAAAGCUCAAUGAAACUCUUCUUGCAGAAAUAGCUCUCUUCAACAGAAAAAGGACAGGGGAAGUUGCGAAAAUGCUGUUGGAAACGUACACAAACAGGAAGAAAGCUCCAGCUAGUGCAGACAUUUUCAAUAGCCUCUCAAGGCUGGAGCAGGAGCUUGGUGACGACAAAUUAACCAGGUUGGAAAUAGAAGGCAAAAAUGGUAGGAAAAUGCCAGUCCUACUAACAGAGAGGAUGAUCUCAUCUCUUGAGAUCCUUAUUGCAAACAGAGACAAAGUUGGUGUGUCAAAGGACAACCCUUAUGUCUUUGCACGUAGCCUGGAUGCAGCAAGCUACAUCAGAGGGUUUGACUGUCUGAGGAAGUGUGCACAUGAGUGUGAUGCAAAGAAUCCUGAAAGUCUGAUCCAUGCGACAGUGAGGAAAGAGGUUGCUAUCCAUUGCCAAAUACUAAACUUGAAUGAAAGUGAAUUGGAUCAGGUGGCAAAGUUAUUGGGACAUGACACCCAGGUCCAUAAAGAGUACUACAGGCUCUCUGAAAAUGCAGCACAUCUAGCAGAAAUCAGCAAAUUGCUGCUUGCAAUGGAUCAGGUUCCAGUGGUAAUUCCAGGGCCAUCUGAGGAAAGGGUUGUUUCUCCUACAUAUGGGACAUCUUCUGCAGGGACAUAUCCAGCGGGGACAGAUACUGGAAGGACAUAUCCUACCGAGACAUGUCCUACUGGGUCAUCAUAUCCUACAGAGACAUAUUCAGCGAAGUCAUAUACUGUGGAGGCACAGCCUUCAAGGUCAUAUCAUGCUGGGACAUAUCCUGAGAAGUCAUAUCCUUCAGGAUCACAUUCUGCGAGGUCAUAUUCUGCGGGGACAGAUUCUGCGAGGGCAUAUCCUACCGUGACACAUCCUGCAGGGACCUAUCCAGCAGGUUCAUAUGUUGCAGGGACAUAUACCGCAGGGACUCAUCAUGCAAGAUCAUAUCCUGCAAGUCCUUAUGGCCUUUCAUCUCCUGCAACAUCAUAUGCUUCGGGCACUAAUCCUGCAAGGUCAUAUCCUGCAGGAACAUAUCCUGCACAGACACUUCCUGCACAGACACUUCCUGCGCAUACAGUUAUUACGCCAACACUUCAUGCACAGACACUUCCAACGCAGAAACUUCCUGUCAGGACAGUUCCUGCGCGGACAAGUCCUGUGAGGCCGUGGAGUGAUGCGGCUAAGGCUGCGGUGAAGCGUCAGUUGGGACACUUUAUCUCAAUGAUGAAGGUUCCAGGUAAACGGGACUGUGAAGUAUGCCUCCACAAUGAACCAGCUGUACGAGACAGGACUUGGAGGGACAUCAAAAACUAUGUGCACAACACAGUAAAAUCUAUUAAAAGGAAGAAGGGCCUUACAAGAGUGGACCCCAGAAAAUGGACAAAGAAAGAAUCGGCAAAGAUUGCUAAGGAAGAGGUUGGUGGAACAAGGACUGUACCUGCACAGGAUCAAGAGGAGAGACUAGAGGCAGGUCCUGUUGCUGUGGCAACACAAAGGAAGCAGAAGAUAUGGAGUGAUGAGGCUCAGGCUGCAGUCAGGCGGCAGCUAGGAGACUUCACUAAACUGAUGAAGAUUCCAGGUAAAACAGAAUGUGAUGCAUGUAUUGCAGCUGAACCAGUUCUACAAGGCAGAACAUGGAAAGAUGUAAAAAACUAUGUGCAUAACACAUUAAUGACAAUGUGCAGGAGGCAUAUUUCAGGCAAACAAAACAUGGACCAUGAAAAACAAAGUCCAGGGACACAGAAACCAGGGGUGCAACAGAAACCAAAGGUGCCGUUGGGACUUCCAGAAGAUCUUCCAGUUUAUCUGUACUUAUGAUUACUUUGAACUAGUUUCAACGCUUUUGAUUUAAUCUGACCAUCUUUGCUCACUCUGAUCUGACAUUGUAAAGCAAUAAUUAUGUAACAAUUUUAUAAUGUCACUACCUACUUUAUUCUACCUACGUAUCUGUUAGUCCUGGGAAUUGCUAGGGACCUAACAGUACGAUUUUAUCACAAUACUUUGGUGCCAAUACUAUAUAUAUACACAUGUGUAUAUAUAUUGCGAUUCUCACGAUUCUAUAAGGACUGCGAUUCGAUACUUUGAUUUUAUUGCGAUUUGAUGUUUCAAACAUAUUGCUCACCAUGUCUGCUGCAGAAGGACAGGAGAGAGACAUGAGAAAACGAUUUUUGUUCAGUCAUGGAAGUAAAAGUGCUGAAAACAUGUUGGCUCCCCAUCUAAAAAGAAGUUGGAGAACAAGGUGGAGAAUGAAAAAUACUGGACCUUUUGGCGCAGGUAUAGCCAACUAGCGCUAGCUAACGUUAACUUCCUAGCAAAAUAAAUUCAGAAUCGAUUGAGAAUCAAUACUUGGAGUCAUAGAAAUGAUAAAAUAUAAUUGAAAAUAAUAUUGCGUUACUCUAUUGUAUUGAGAGAAACAAAUCCACAAGUAGGCCUAUCUGUAGCAUCUAGGCUACAUAGUGAAAUAUUAUGCAUGAGCACUAAAUAUAUGUUCAACAUUAAUAGAUUACAUGUACCAAUUACAGUUAAUAGUUUUUUUUUUACUUUGUAGAUGAAAGUUGUGCAAACCUAGACCGUUAAACUGAUAACUUUACCUUUUAGAUCACACUAAUGGUAUACUUCACCAAAUUGAUCUGGAUCCAGAUGUACAAAAUGUUUUGUGUAUUCUUGCCUGUACCAUUGUAUGUGUAACUAAUGUAUAUGUGUAGGUUAGGUUUUGAGUUAAACAACUGACCAGCAAACUUGUGAAUUUAGCGGGUUAUUCCAUUUGAAAUUUGUGUGACUUUUAAUGGAUUAUAAAUACAUGGCAUCACAGGAAGUUGGUGGCACCUUAAUUGGGGAGGUCGGGCUCAUCGUAGUGGCUGAAGGCGGAAUCAGUGAAAUGGUAUCAAAUACAUCAAACAUAUGGUUUCCAUGUGUUGGCCAUUCCAUUCACUCCGUUCUGACUAUUAUUAUGAGCCGUCCUCCCCUCAGCAGCCUCCACUGCAUGGCCUACAUGCAUACACUAUCUACAUCCAUGCAUUUUGAAGCAUGGUUGGAUUUAUUAUCAUGGAUAUUUUACUUAUGUUAUUAACGUUAGCUAGAUAGCUAGUAUUCCUAGUUACUGGUGUAUCAGUAGUUGUUUUUAUAUAUUUUUUUAAAACAGCGUUUUUAUCAUUCCUUUCAAUCAUGCUAGUUUUUGUGGAUAUUUGCAUCUAGAGCUGACAUUCAUUUUCAUUACUAAGCCAGAUUCCCACAGCUGCAUGACCCAGUGAGCCAUCUCAGUCCUGGUGAGUUGCUUUAGUCAAAAGGUGCUGUUGAUUAGGCUUGCCAAGUGGGCAGAGUGUGCGCUUCAGGACCAUUGAAAGGUUCUGAAAAGGGACAAAUCUGUCCACCUAUUGCACCGGGCAAAGUCAGUGACACUUUCAGAUCACAGCAAAGGGCCCAUUUAUGGCUGCAUUUCCGAUUUUCCACCCUUCUCCCAAGGUGACUGGGAGUAUUUAAAAAAAUAUAUAUAUUUCACCUUUAUUUAACCAGGUAGGCCAGUUGAGAACAAUUUCUCAUUUACAACUGCGACCUGGCCAAGAUAAAGCAAGGCAGUGCGACAAAAACAACAACAGAGUUACACAGGGGAUAAACAAACGUACAGUCAAUAACACAAUAGAAAAACUAUAUACAGUGUCUGCAAAUGUAGUAAGAUUAGGGAGGUAUGGCAAUAAAUAGGCCAUAGUGGUGAAAUAAUUACAAUUUAGCAUUAACACUGGAGUGAUCGAUGUGCAGAUGAUGAUGUGUAAGUCGAGAUAUUGGGGUGCAAAAUAGCAAAAAAAUAACAAUAUGGGGAUGAGGUAGUUGGGUGGGCUAUUUACAGAUGGGCUGUGUACAGGUGCAGUGAUCGGUAAGCUGCUCUGACAGCUGAUGCUUAUAGUUAGUGAGGGAGAAAUAAGUCUCCAGCUUCAGUGACUUGCAGUUCGUUCCAGUCAUUGGCAGUAUUCAAGUAAACUCUUUGAAAGAAGUGUGGAGAAUCCUGAAGCAGCGUGAGUUAUGGCUGAUGGGUUUGGCUUCAGACCAAUGUCUACUUCUCACUUACACUAAGUGUAAAAAACAUUAGGAACACCUUCCUAAUAUUGAGUUGCACCCCCUUUUGCCCUCAGAACAGCCUCAAUUCGUCGGGGCAUGGACUCUACAAGGUGUCAAUUGUUUCACAGGGAUGCUAGCCUACCUAUGUUGACUCCAAUGCUUCCCACAGUUGUAUCAAGUUGGCUGGAUGUCCUUUGGGUGGUGGACAAUUUGUGAAAAACCCAGCAGCCUUGCAGUUCUUGAAGCACUUAAAACGGUGCGCCUGGCACCUACUACCAUACUCUGUUCAAAGGCACAAAUCUUUUGUCUUGCCCAUUCACCCUCUGAAUGGCACACAUGCAUAAUCCAUGUCUCCAAUUGUCUCCAGGCUUAAAAAUCCUUUUAACUGGUCUCCUCCCCUUCCUCUACACUGAUUGAAGUGGAUUUAACAAGUGACAUUGCAUUUAUUGAUUAACAGCUUGAAUACCACCAUAUAGCUAGCUCUCUAUAGUAGUCUAGAUUUGUUUGCAUACAUUUCUUAUGACUAGCAGCCUGGUGCAGCCCGCUUGCACCAGGCUGCUAGACAUAAGAAAUGUAUGCAAACAAAUCUAGGCUACUGUAGAUAGCUAGCUAUAUGGUGGUAUUCAAGCUGUUAAUCAAUAAAUGCUGUGUUGUUGCCGAGCAACCGAUCUAGUGUUAGAACUUGUAGAAAUGCAUUGUAGAAAUGCUACAAAAAAGGUAGCACAUCCUUUGCUGGUAUUUAUUGUAAAGAAAUGAACACGUGAGAGCUGUCUCACAACGGCAGUUGGUUAGCUUGCUAAAGUUGGUUAGCCUACUAGCUACUUCCAGACACAAAGGAGCGAACUCACUCUGACCAUUUAACUCGCCCUAGCAGAGCUUGUUAUCUAGAGCGUUAGUGACUGUAACUGUGUAACUGCUAGCAACAAUUUAAUUCUGUUUUUUGCCAACCUUUACUGACAACUGUCAUAUUCAACGGGUGUUGCGCGUUCGUAAGUUCAUCAGUUAUUCAACAGUUGUAACAAUGAAAAAAUCGUGGGUUAUUGUGCGCUCUGGCACACUCAAGGGAGAGUGCUCUGAAAUCGUAAAUAACCAAAAUGAAUUUACGAACACACCCUCAAUCAAUUCAUACUAUAUUGUGGAGGCUAUCGCCCCACAAUCAUUUAUGGUCACUAGUAACUUUUAAUAUAAUGUUGGUUGACUUCCCAUCCAAUUUCAGGCCGUUUUUGGUUCUCCAAUCCACGCCUUUGACCAAAAGUUACUAUUGUAAAUGUGAUUUUGCCAAUUGGAAUUGGUUCCUUUGUUCUACGUGUGGAAUUGGUUUCAGAGAAUCACACAGAACCUAUUCCUAUUGUACCUGUCUUUCCUGCUAAAUAUGAUGUAGAUUAUAAGGCUCUAGUGUUCCAUGUAAUUGUUUUAUUGCUUGUCUAAUAUAAACAUUUACACUUUUUAUAUUAAUAUUUCUAUUAUUCACUACUGUCUUAACCAUAUUGAUUUCACAACAGCUGUUUAAGUUUAACAUUAAGGCUGACUUGUAUAGGGUCUGUUGUUACACACCCCACAAUUUACUAUCUAAAGACAUGGACAUCAUUAAGAGUGGUUUUUCUUCAGUAUGUAUUUCUUAUUAAGCUGCCUUUUGUUGCCCCCUGGUGCUCAUUGUGUACUGUAAAUGUAAGAUACUAUAUUUGCUUGGUUAAUAAAUUGUUACUUGAUGUAAACUUUCAAAUGUUAUUUCAGUUCUGAGAAUAUUCAUACAGCCUACUUGAUGUUCCAACAGGGAUUUAGAAUUGUACCAAUAACAAUUAUGGAAAACAACAGUUUUGAGAUUUAAAGGGAUACUUCAGGAUUUUGGCAAUGAGGCCCUUUAUUUACUUCCCCACAGUCAGAUGAACUCGUGGAUACUAUUUUUAUGUAUCUGUGUCCAGUAUGAAGGAUUAAGAGGUAGUUUUGUGAGCCAAUGCUAACUAGCAUUAGCACUAUGACUGGAAGUCUAUGGGUAUUUAAUAGGAUGCUAGCAGAUACCCAUAGACUUCCAGACUUCCACAACACCCUAGGUAAGUUGAAAAUAAGCUAAACCUUCAAAAAAGUGAUCUGUCCCUUUAAUACUUUAAACAAUUAUACAGAUGCAGUACAUUUGGAUUGCUGCUCUUGUUUGGGGGAAAGCUUUUCAUCAUAAUCUCGGUCUCCCUCUCCUUCCUUUCUCUUUCCAGGCUCUGGUAUCUUGCUCUUACUUUUCCUUGCUAACUUCCUGAGUGAGAUCACAGCCAGGCUGUGCGGGCACUACAGUGUUCAUGCCACGGUGCUGAACGACAUGUUCCAGCUGCCCAUCUUCCUGGUGAGUCUCACUCUAUCAGGAGUACUCCUGGCCUGGAGGUCUGGAGAACGGUUGAUUUUAUUUUUUGUUCUACUUCAUAGUUAGUUGAUUGAAUCAUGUCACUGAUAUUUUCCUCUUUCAAUUACACCCCACAGGAUAGUCACUUUAUCUACUCAUUCAGCCCAGUGCCAGGCAUCAACAAACUGUUGAUUCGCCUGGCAGAGUCACCUACAACCAAG
rnacentral:lncRNA from 8 species